rnacentral:rRNA from 1 species
CCUACGGGUGGCAGCAGUAGGGAAUAUUGCGCAAUGGGGGAAACCCUGAUGCAGCAACGCCGCGUGAUCGAUGAAGCCCUUCGGGGUGUAAAGAUCUGUCAGUGGGGACGAAACCUGACGGUACAAACAGCGGAAGCACCGGCUAACACCGGGACAGAAGCAGCGGCAAUCCGGGGGGUGCAAGCGUUGUCCGGAAUCAUUGGGCGGAAAGGGCGUGGAGGCGGGGGCGCAAGUCAGAUGUGAAACCCCAGGGCUCAACCUGGGGCCUGCAUUUGAAACUGUGUUUCUUGAGUGCUGUAGAGGCGAGUGGAAUUCCAGGUGUAGCGGUGAAAUGCGUAGAGAUACGGAGGAACACCAGUGGCGAAGGCGGAUUGCUGGACAGUAACUGACGCUGAGGCGCGAAAGCGUGGGGAGCAAACAGGAUUAGAUACCCUUGUAGUC